AGUCAUAAUUUGCUGGGUUACAUGGUAGUUGUAUGUUUAAAUUUUUAAAGAAACUGCCUAACUCUUUUCCAGAGUGUCUGUACCAUUUUACAUUCUCACCAACAAU
rnacentral:pre_miRNA from 1 species